AGAGCCGCCGCCCCAAGCCACCCUCCCCUGGUUCCCGUCCCUCUGUCCCCUCCCCAGCUCCCCCCACACAGUAAGAAGCUCCCAAGUGAGCGGCUCCGGUGCCGGGCGGGACGUGGGAGGGAGGCUGUGUCCCCGCGGGGAGGCAGGGCGACGGCGUCCAGGAGAGAGGGGAGCGGGGCGGUGUCCCAGGCACCCUGCGCCUCUCCCGCCCGCAAUGUGCGGGUUCCCGGAGCCCAGGCCCGCACCCCGGGUACUUGAAGGCCGCCGGGCUCCGCCUUCACCACGUGGGCCCUGAGUUCCUCCGCGGCGCCUUCGUGGGCGACACGCGAUUCCUGAGCUUCCACAGCCGCGGCGAGAAUCAGAGCGUGAAGCGCGGGUGGAGAAGAUGGCACAGGGCUGUGGGCGCCCUGAGGAAAGUUCUCGAAGACCGCAGGGAAUGUGUUACUGAGGGGCCUGAGGUUCCUGGGCCCGCACCACCACCAGGGUCAGCCGGUGAGUGACCUCAGACUCCGGGCACAGGUGUGCCCCGCCCCGACCCCAGAGUGACCAGCCCGGUUCUCCCAGGGAUGGGGGGGCGGGGCCUCAGCUGAUCCCUCUCAGGUGGGGAAGCGCUGGGGCCAUUUUGCUCCAGGUUUCUCCUUCAAUCUGGAUCAUGACUGACUUGUUCUGUGACCAAUGACAGAGGGAGGAAGGAGCUGGGGUGGGCGGGGCGACCUCCCUCCCCUCCCUGGCCCCGCCUCCGGCUCACCCUGGGGCAGGUCCAGGGCACCGCACCUGCAGAUGCUGCUGUCUGGCUGGGUGGUGGCUCCGGACAGGAGCUUCCUCGAAGGACACUUUAAGUCCGCCUACGACAAGGAGAUUUCAUGUCCCUGAACGAGGACCUGCAGACCUGGACAGCGGCUCAAAGAGCGGCUUGGAGGAUCCAUCACACCUGGGAGAGGUUCUGGACCGCGGAGGCCACAAGGGAAGCCCCGAUGGGUCACUGCACUAGGUGGCUGCUCAGACACCUGGAGGAUGGCAAGGAGAUGAUGCUGCCGGCAGAAGAUAAAACACCAGGAAACGGAAUCGGCAGAGACACAGUAGAUGAAAGUACCACGAAGGACUGCUAGGUUCUAAUAGAAAGUAGCAGAUAGCCCCGUGGAGAUUCCUGCUGUGCAGCAAAGCCUGGGAGGGGCCCCUGGCUGUGGAAGGCAGGCUGAGACGUCAUAGGAACUUCCUUCUCUGGGAUCCCAAACUCCUAGACCAGCUGAGUACGUUGAGGGGAUGGGAAGCACCAACACCCCACGCAGGUUACCGGAAGUGCUGGUGAGUAUAGUCAUUCCUUCUUCCAGCACUGGUGGUUAGAGACUUACUCUACCUGUUGGAGACUUGGCACCAUAUAACAGCUGCUGGCGUAACCUUAGUGUAUGCUUCAUCCUGAAGGACAUUACCCAUCCUGAUAGGAUGUGAUCUUCAAGAUAAAACCCAGCUGCACCCUCAAGAGACCAUUCCACUGCUCUAUCAGCUCGCAGAGUGUGUGAUGCAGUAUGGGGUAGAACCAGGAGA